rnacentral:rRNA from 1 species
AGUGAACGCUGGCGGUAGGCCUAACACAUGCAAGUCGAACGGCAGCACAGUAAGAGCUUGCUCUUACGGGUGGCGAGUGGCGGACGGGUGAGGAAUACAUCGGAAUCUACUUUUUCGUGGGGGAUAACGUAGGGAAACUUACGCUAAUACCGCAUACGACGUACGGGUGAAAGCAGGGGAUCUUCGGACCUUGCGCGAUUGUAUGAGCCGAUGUCGGAUUAGCUAGUUGGCGGGGUAAAGGCCCACCAAGGCGACGAUCCGUAGCUGGUCUGAGAGGAUGAUCAGCCACACUGGAACUGAGACACGGUCCAGACUCCUACGGGAGGCAGCAGUGGGGAAUGUUGGACAAUGGGCGCAAGCCUGAUCCAGCCAUACCGCGUGGGUGAAGAAGGCCUUCGGGUGGUAAAGCCCUUUUGUUGGGAAAGAAAAGCAGCAGGUUAAUACCCCGCUGUUCUGACGGUACACAAAGAAUAAGCACCGGCUAACUUCGU